rnacentral:rRNA from 1 species
GACGAACCGUGCGAACGUUGUUCGGAAUCACUGGGCUUAAAGGGCGCGUAGGCGGGCUAUCAAGUCUGGGGUGAAAUCCCACGGCUCAACCGUGGAACUGCCUUAGAUACUGACGGCCUUGAGGAAGGUAGGGGCAUGCGGAACUGUAGGUGGAGCGGUGAAAUGCGUUGAUAUCUACAGGAACUCCGGUGGCGAAAGCGGCGUGCUGGACCUUUUCUGACGCUGAGGCGCGAAAGCUAGGGGAGCAAACGGG